AUUUUAAUAAUUAGAUGUAUCCUUGCCGAAUCGCACCCUAUAAUUUUAAAAACUCGUAUCGUAUCGCCCCCACAUCCGCACCUCCGUACCUAUGCAACAUAGCUUUUCAUCAUAACAAUAAUUACUUUGAAAUAACUUGAAAUAAAUAACAUUUAAAAAAAAUACAUAUAAAGAAAACUAAAAAGUAAAUUAAAAAAAUUAAAGAAAAUAGGAAAUGAAAACAAAAAGGAAAAGAAAACUGAAAGAAAAACGUAAAAAGUAAAAAAACACGCCUAUUAAAAAAACAGAAAGAAUAAAAAAAAAAGAUAAAGAAAACAGAAAAUGAAAUGUUAGUUUUGAACCCAUUUCCUUAGGGAGACACUAGCACUUAAGACGCACAACCAACCAUUGCACCACAACUUUUAUUUUAUUUUUAAAU
rnacentral:lncRNA from 1 species